CAUAAAUAACUUUGUAAAUCAAACAUUGAUUCAUUAAAUCGAUUAUCUUCAUUAGAAUCAACACUAAUACAAAAGAAACAAGAAAAUUAAGAAGAAGAGAUAGCACCAAGCUUAUCUCUGGCUCAGUACUAUCGUAGUCUGGCCUUUUCUUUCCUUCUUCCAUCCUCCUUAUACUAUCUCAAGAUAUCAAUUCCUAUACUACAGAUGAUAACUACUUUUCUUGACUAU
rnacentral:lncRNA from 1 species